rnacentral:rRNA from 1 species
AUGGAUAAAAGUGAUUGUUUUCAAUUCCUAAUUGACCGUAUUAUUAAAAAAAUUAGUGGAUGGAAAGAGAAAUUUUUAUUCGCUGCAGGGAAUGAAAUCCUAUUUAAAUCGGCUGUACAAGCUAUCCCAACUUAUGCCAUGUCCAUCUUUAAAAUUCCUAAUUGCAAAGGAACCAUUGACGCGAUGUCGCAAUUUUGGUGGGGUGAUGAGGACAACCAGAAAAGGAUGCAUUGGAUGGCGUGGUGGAAGAUGUGUGUCCCAAAAGACCAAGGCGGAAUGUGGUUCAGAGAUAUACAUUGUUUCAAUUUGGCUUUGCUAGCCAAGAAAAUGUGGUGUUUGCUUGAUAAUCCAGAAUCUUUAUGUGCCACAAUCUUGAGAGCUAAAUAUUUC